rnacentral:tRNA from 1 species
AGCGAGGUAGGGUAGCCAGGAGUCCCGUCAGGUUCAUGACCUGAAGAUCGGUGGUUCAAAUCCACCCCUCGCUA